rnacentral:rRNA from 1 species
GACGAACGCUGGCGGCGUGCCUAAUACAUGCAAGUCGAGCGAGCGGAACUAACAGAUUUACUUCGGUAAUGACGUUAGGAAAGCGAGCGGCGGAUGGGUGAGUAACACGUGGGGAACCUGCCCCAUAGUCUGGGAUACCACUUGGAAACAGGUGCUAAUACCGGAUAAGAAAGCAGAUCGCAUGAUCAGCUUUUAAAAGGCGGCGUAAGCUGUCGCUAUGGGAUGGCCCCGCGGUGCAUUAGCUAGUUGGUAAGGUAAAGGCUUACCAAGGCGAUGAUGCAUAGCCGAAGUGAGAGACUGAUCGGCCACAUUGGGACUGAGACACGGCCCAAACUCCUACGGGAGGCAGCAGUAGGGAAUCUUCCACAAUGGACGCAAGUCUGAUGGAGCAACGCCGCGUGAGUGAAGAAGGUUUUCGGAUCGUAAAGCUCUGUUGUUGGUGAAGAAGGAUAGAGGUAGUAACUGGCCUUUAUUUGACGGUAAUCAACCAGAAAGUCACGGCUAACUACGUG